rnacentral:rRNA from 1 species
UGGGGAAUUUUGGACAAUGGGCGCAAGCCUGAUCCAGCCAUGCCGCGUGUCUGAAGAAGGCCUUCGGGUUGUAAAGGACUUUUGUCAGGGAAGAAAAGGCUGUUGCUAAUAUCGACAGCUGAUGACGGUACCUGAAGAAUAAGCACCGGCUAACUACGUGCCAGCAGCCGCGGUAAUACGUAGGGUGCGAGCGUUAAUCGGAAUUACUGGGCGUAAAGCGAGCGCAGACGGUUACUUAAGCAGGAUGUGAAAUCCCCGGGCUCAACCUGGGAACUGCGUUCUGAACUGGGUGACUAGAGUGUGUCAGAGGGAGGUAGAAUUCCACGUGUAGCAGUGAAAUGCGUAGAGAUGUGGAGGAAUACCGAUGGCGAAGGCAGCCUCCUGGGAUAACACUGACGUUCAUGCCCGAAAGCGUGGGUAGCAAACAGGAUUAGAUACCCUGGUAGUCCACGCCCUAAACGAUGUCGAUUAGCUGUUGGGCAGCUUGACUGCUUAGUAGCGAAGCUAACGCGUGAAAUCGACCGCCUGGGGAGUACGGUCGCAAGAUUA